ACUAUAUGAUGAUCAAUUCCGAGGAAUUAUACAAUAUUGACAAUCACCUAUUAAUGUGAGAUUGUAUGUUGACUCUUCUACACUUGAUCUGACC
rnacentral:snoRNA from 1 species